rnacentral:rRNA from 1 species
AACGAACGUUGGCGGCGUGGAUUAGGCAUGCAAGUCGCACGAGAAAGGUUUCGCAAGAGACCAAGUAAAGUGGCGGACGGGUGAGUAAUGCAUAGAUAACUUGCCCUCAAGACGGGGAUAACUCUUCGAAAGAGGUGCUAAUACCCGAUACUGUCCUGACCUGUCGGGGUCUGGAUGAAAGGAGGCCUCUGAUACAAGCUUCCGCUCGAGGAGAGGUUUAUGUCCUAUUAGCAGUUGGUGAGGUAACGGCUCACCAAGGCUUCGAUGGGUAGCCGACCUGAGAGGGUGACCGGCCACACUGGGACUGAGACACUGCCCAGACUCCUACGGGAGGCUGCAGUCGAGAAUCUUCCGCAAUGCGCGCAAGCGUGACGGAGCGACGCCGCGU